CCUACGGGAGGCAGCAGUGGGGAAUAUUGGACAAUGGGCGCAAGCCUGAUCCAGCCAUACCGCGUGUGUGAAGAAGGCCUUCGGGUUGUAAAGCACUUUAAGUAAGGAAGAAAAGUAUAUUGUUAAUACCAAUGUACCGUGACAUUACUUACAGAAUAAGGACCGGCUAAUUCCGUGCCAGCAGCCGCGGUAAUACGGAAGGUCCAAGCGUUAAUCGGAAUUACUGGGCGUAAAGCGCGCGUAGGUGGUUUAUUAAGUUGGGUGUGAAAGCCCCGGGCUCAACCUGGGAACUGCAUCCAAAACUGAUUCACUAGAGUACGAAAGAGGGAGGUAGAAUUCACAGUGUAGCGGUGGAAUGCGUAGAUAUUGUGAAGAAUACCAAUGGCGAAGGCAGCCUCCUGGUUCUGUACUGACACUGAGGUGCGAAAGCGUGGGUAGCGAACAGGAUUAGAUACCCUGGUAGUCCACGCCGUAAACGAUGACAACCAGCUGUUGGGAAGCAAAGCUUUUCAGUGGCGCAGCUAACGUCUUAAGUUGUCCGCCUGGGGAGUACGGCCGCAAGGUUAAAACUCAAAGGAAUUGACGG
rnacentral:rRNA from 1 species